ACAUGCAAGUCGAACGCGAAAGUUCCCUUCGGGGGGCGAGUAGAGUGGCGUCCGGGUGGGUAACACGUAGGUAAUCUACCUUUGGGUGGGGAAUAACAAUCGGAAACGGUUGCUAAUACCGCAUAAUGCAGCGGCACCGCAUGGUGACAGUUGUUAAAGCGGGGGAUCGCAAGACCUCGCGCCUAGAGAGGAGCCUGUGGCGGAUUAGCUAGUUGGCAGGGUAACGGCCUACCAAGGCAACGAUCCGUAGCCGGCCUGAGAGGGCGGUCGGCCACACUGACACUGAAAUACGGGUCAGACUCCUACGGGAGGCAGCAGUCGGGAAUUUUGGGCAAUGGGCGCAAGCCUGACCCAGCAACGCCGCGUGAAGGAUGAAAUCCCUCGGGAUGUAAACUUCGCAAGAAUGGGAAGAAUAAGUAGGGGAUAAUACCCUCUAUGAUGACGGUACCAUUUGUAAGCUCCGGCUAACUCCGUGCCAGCAGCCGCGGUAAUACGGGGGGAGCAAGCGUUGUUCGGAUUUACUGGGCGUAAA
rnacentral:rRNA from 1 species